AGAGUGAACGCUGGCGGUAGGCCUAACACAUGCAAGUCGAACGGCAGCACAGUGGUAGCAAUACCAUGGGUGGCGAGUGGCGGACGGGUGAGGAAUACAUCGGAAUCUACCUUUUCGUGGGGGAUAACGUAGGGAAACUUACGCUAAUACCGCAUACGCCCUUCGGGGGAAAGCCGGGGAUCGCAAGACCUGGCGCGGAUAGAUGAGCCGAUGUCGGAUUAGCUAGUUGGUGAGGUAAUGGCUCACCAAGGCGACGAUCCGUAGCUGGUCUGAGAGGAUGAUCAGCCACACUGGAACUGAGACACGGUCCAGACUCCUACGGGAGGCAGCAGGUGGGAAUAGUUGGAACAAUGGGACGCAAAGGCCUGAUCCAGCCAUACCCGCGUGGGUGAAGAAGGCCUUACGGUUGUAAACGCCGUUUUGUUAGGAAAGAAAAGACAAGUACGGUUAA
rnacentral:rRNA from 1 species